UUAAAAUGAUGAUCAACCAUGCUAAUAUUGAGAAAACUUUAGGUUUUCGCUGAGUAAAACAAUACUUCUCACUUAAACUGAUUGAA
rnacentral:snoRNA from 1 species